UGGGGAAUAUUGGACAAUGGGCGGAAGCCUGAUCCAGCAACGCCGCGUGAGGGAUGACGGCCUUCGGGUUGUAAACCUCUUUCAGUACCGACGAAGCGAAAGUGACGGUAGGUACAGAAGAAGGACCGGCCAACUACGUGCCAGCAGCCGCGGUAAUACGUAGGGUCCGAGCGUUGUCCGGAAUUAUUGGGCGUAAAGGGCUCGUAGGCGGUUUGUCGCGUCGGGAGUGAAAACAGCGGGCUUAACUCGUUGCUUGCUUUCGAUACGGGCAGACUAGAGGUAUGCAGGGGAGAAUGGAAUUCCUGGUGUAGCGGUGAAAUGCNCAGAUAUCAGGAGGAACACCGGUGGCGAAGGCGGUUCUCUGGGCAUUACCUGACGCUGAGGAGCGAAAGUGUGGGGAGCGAACAGGAUUAGAUACCCUGGUAGUCCACACCGUAAACGUUGGGCGCUAGGUGUGGGGUCCUUUCCACGGAUUCCGUGCCGUAGCUAACGCAUUUAAAGCGCCCCGCCUGGGGGAGUACGGCCGCAAGGCUAAAAACUC
rnacentral:rRNA from 1 species